GCCCCCGUAGCUCAGGGGACAGAGCAGCGGUUUCCUAAACCGCGUGUCGGAGGUUCGAGUCCUCCCGGGGGCA
rnacentral:tRNA from 1 species